GUGCCAGCAGCCGCGGUAAGACGUAGGGCGCGAGCGUUGUCCGGAUUUAUUGGGCGUAAAGAGCUCGUAGGCGGCUUGUCGCGUCGUCUGUGAAAUCCCGCGGCUCAACUGCGGGUCUGCAGGCGAUACGGGCAGGCUAGAGUUCGGUAGGGGAGACUGGAAUUCCUGGUGUAGCGGUGAAAUGCGCAGAUAUCAGGAGGAACACCGGUGGCGAAGGCGGGUCUCUGGGCCGAUACUGACGCUGAGGAGCGAAAGCGUGGGGAGCGAACAGGAUUAGAAACCCUCGUAGUCC
rnacentral:rRNA from 1 species